UUCAAUAAUUUUUAAUGUUUUGGCUUCAUUUUUGUUUCAUUUUAUCUUCAAUUAUUUUACGCUUUUUUAAACCUUUCCGUCGUUAUUCUCAUUUAUUUGUUAUCACUUUCCCCCCUCUUCCCCUCUCUCAAUCUCCUCGCGACAUCGACGAGAGUCUGUUGUUCUCCGCUCAAAAUGUCGGCGCUCAAAAUUGCUAAAGGUCAACUGAAUCAAAGGCAUACCAACCAUGACCAACCUGACUUCUUUCUGUGAUUGAGAACUCUAUCACCUAAAAUGACCUUCCUGUUUUCAAAGAUGGCAAGCUCUUGUUUCAGGUUCUAAAUGUGAGUGCUUAAUCAUGUCGCAUACAAAAGAAACUUUGGAACUGUCCGAAUUUCAAAGACACCGUAUUGAAGGUCAAUCUGAAGGUGGACUUAGCAUAAAAUCACAGAAAACCUUGGGAUUCCGCUUUCUACAGUUAAUAGAGUGUGCAAUUCACCAGAGAGGGGAAGGUGUCCACAUCACCUCACCCAGGUUGAUCAGAGCCCUCUGACAGGACUCUUUGUUUUGUUAAGAGGAUAAUCCUCAUUGCAAGGCCUCUGACGUAGCAGAACAAGUUGAUGUCAGUCUGAGAACAGCUGCCAGGUAUCUCUGCAAAAUUGGCUACUAUGGCAGAACAGCAAGAAGGAAGCCACCUCUUCAACCAGCCAAUAUCAAGUGGAGAAAAGAUUUGGCCAGUGAGAUGGUGGAGAGGCCACUAGCAUUUUGGGACACUAUCAUAUUCUCUUAUGAAUCCAAAUUUGCUGUAUUUCUGGACAGUGGUCAAAUGUGGGUCUGGAGAUUCUGGUGAUCAAGAAUUUGAUGUGAAAAGAUUGCUGUCAACAAUAACACACAGCAGCUAUUCUGUGAUGGUCUGGGGAGCAAUUUGGAGCAAUGGUCGAUCAGAGCUGGUGGUGUGUGAGGGAAACAUAAACUCAGAUAAAUAUGUGUCCAUAUUGUAGAAAGGAGUCCUUCUAAUCUUCUCCAAUGGUGAAAUGAUUAAAGAAGACUCUUUAUUUAUGGAAGAUGGGGCGCUUUGACACAUGACUAAAAAGACUCAAGGUUGGUUGAAAGAGAAUGGCAUUGAAAAGCUUCCAUGGCCAGUCACAAGGUUUGAACCCUUUGAACACCUGUGAGGCAUAAUGAACAGGACACUUCAUAAGAACAAGAAAGCAUCUUCAAAGCCAGAACUUUUAAGAUUACUGCAUGAAACUUGGCAAGACGUCUACAGUUGAGCGAGAAGGAGUAAACAUAAUGU